GACGUAGGGCGCGAGCGUUGUCCGGAUUUAUUGGGCGUAAAGAGCUCGUAGGCGGCUCGUUGCGUCGGCUGUGAAAACCCGCAGCUCAACUGUGGGCUUGCAGCUGAUACGGGCGGGCUGGAGUUCGGUAGGGGAGACUGGAAUUCCUGGUGUAGCGGUGAAAUGCGUUGAUAUCAUGGGGAACACCGAAAGCGAAGGCAAUUCACUGGCGCAUUCCUGACACUGAAACACGAAAGCGUGGGUAGCGAACGGG
rnacentral:rRNA from 1 species